rnacentral:rRNA from 1 species
UACGUAGGGUGCAAGCGUUAAUCGGAAUUACUGGGCGUAAAGCGUGCGCAGGCGGUUUGUAAGUCUGACGUGAAAGCCCGGGCUCAACCUGGGAAUUGCGAUGAAGACUGCAAGGCUUGAAUCUGGCAGAGGGGGUAGAAUUCCACGUGGUAGCAGUGAAAUGCGUAGAGAUGAUGGAGGAAUACCGAUGGCGAAGGCAGCCCCUGGGCCAAUACGUGACGGCUCAUGCACGAAAGCGUGGGAG